AUUGAACGCUGGCGGCAGGCUUAACACAUGCAAGUCGAGCGAGACGCGGACGGGUGAGUACUGUCUGGGAACCUGCCUGAUGGAGGGGGAUAACUAAUGGUAACGGUUGCCACUACCGCAUUCCAUCCGCUGUGACCAGGUGGGUUUAGCUACGAGGUGGGGUACUGGCCCACCUAGGCGACGAUCCCGAGCUGGUCUGAGAGGAUGACCAGCAACACUGGAACUGAGACACGGUCCAGACUCCUACGGGAGGCAGCAUGGGGGAAUAUUGCACAAUGGGCGAAAGCCUGAUGCAGCCAUGCCGCGUGUGUGAUGAAGGCCUUCGGGUUGUAAAGCACUUUCAGCGAGGAGGCGUUACUCGCAGAAUAAGCACCGGCUAACUCCGUGCCAGCAGCCGCGGUAAUAC
rnacentral:rRNA from 1 species